rnacentral:lncRNA from 1 species
CUGUUAUUCCCUUGACUGUCCUUUAUCUGGGAGGCUAGACCACACAGAAGGAUGCAGAGAACAACAGGGUCAAAUGAUUUUACUGAAGUUGAGCCAGCUAGACGUAAUGGGGCUAAUGUGGAUGGUCCUGAGGAACACCGUGUAAUCACCUGCUUGGGCCAGUGACCAAGGACAAGAAAGGAAGCUGGAUGUCAGAGUGGAUACCACUGCAGAUAAAUAGAGUUUGCGAAUCAGAUUCACUUUCUCCUUCCUGUGCAAUCUUCUAUUUCAGUUUCC